rnacentral:rRNA from 1 species
ACGCGUGUAGCAAUACACGAGUGGCGAAAGGGCGAGGAAUAGAUUCCUACGUACCCCGGAGUCAGGGAUAACCAUCGGAAACGGUGGCUAACACCUGAUGAUCUCGAAAGAGCAAAGUUUACGCUCUGGGAGCGGGGAAUCUCCUAUCAGCUAGUUGGUGAGGUAACGGCUCACCAAGGCUAAGACGGGUAGCGGGUGUGAGAGCACGGCCCGCCGCAUCGGGACUGAGACACUGCCCGGACUCCUACGGGAGGCUGCAGUAACGAAUCUUCCGCAAUGCACGAAAGUGUGACGGGGCAAUGCCGCGUGUGGGAUGAAGCCCUUCGGGGUGUAAACCACUGUCAGGGUCUAGGAACACAAUGACCAUACCCAAAGGAAGCACCGGCUAACUCUGUGCCAGCAGCCGCGGUAAUACAGAGGGUGCGAGCGUUAAUCGGAAUCACUGGGCUUAAAGGGUCCGUAGGCGGGGCUGCAGGCGUCGAGUGAAAUACCACGGCUCAACCGUGGAACUGCUCGGCGAACCGCAGUUCUUGAGGCGAGUAGAGGCGAUCAGAACGAUAGGUGGAGCGGUGAAAUGCGUAGAUAUCUAUCGGAAUGCCAAAGGUGAAGACAGGUCGCUGGGCUCGUCCUGACGCUGAGGGACGAAAGCGUGGGGAGCAAACGGGAUUAGAUACCCCGGUAGUCCACGCCGUAAACAAUGCGCACUGGGUCGGGGAGGUUU